UACGUAGGGGGCAAGCGUUGUCCGGAUUUAUUGGGCGUAAAGAGCGUGUAGGCGGCCAUACAGGUCAGCUGUGAAAACUCGAGGCUCAACCUCGAGACGUCGGUUGAAACCGUAUGGCUAGAGUCCGGAAGAGGAGAGUGGAAUUCCCGGUGUAGCGGUGAAAUGCGCAGAUAUCGGGAAGAACACCUAUGGCGAAAGCGACUCACUGGACCGCAACUGACGCUGAUGCACGAAAGCUAGGGGAGCAAACAGG
rnacentral:rRNA from 1 species